UGUUGAUUGGGCAUCUUUCCAUAGGGAAGUUGCCUUUGAUGGAUUAAUAUUACAUCAUGAAAAAAUUGGCGGUAUUAGAAAAAAUUGAUCGACGAGUCGAAGUUUAGUUGACGAAAGUAUUAUAAGGGUCAUCGUGUAGAGGGACAAUGGUUUCUUGGUGAAGUAGAGCGGACACCAGGCAAAUGUUUUUUUGGUACCCGUAGAACGACGAGAUAAAGAAACGUUGCUGGUAUUAACUAAAGAGUGGAUUUUGCCUGGUACAUUGAUUAAUAGUGAUUGUUGGAAAUUAUAAUUAUAUCAGACGAAAGCACUAGUUUAAUUUCGACUUCAUGUAUUCGUAUUCCAUGGCCAGGAGUUGAAAAAUAUUUUUCUUCUCAA